GGUUCCGUGGUGUAGGGGUUAACACGUCUGCCUGUCACGCAGAAGAUCGCGGGUUCAAAUCUCGUCGGAACCG
rnacentral:tRNA from 1 species